rnacentral:rRNA from 1 species
CGGCCGAGAGGUUAGCGAAGCUUAUCAAACUCAGAAUGCCAGAGUAUUGAUGCUUGGGAGUCAGACAGUGUCAGAUAAAUGUCAUUGUCAAAAGGGAAACAGCCCAGAUCUACAGCUAAGGUCCCAAAGUCAGGUUAAGUGGAAAACGAUGUGAAGAUACGCAGACAACCAGGAUGUUGGCUCAGAAGCAGCCACUCAUUCAAAGAGUGCGUAAUAGCUCACUGGUCGAGCGUCUUUGCGCGGAGAAUUUAACGGGGCUAAACCUGACACCGAAGCUUAGGCAAUACAGCAAUGUAUUGGGUAGGGGAGCGUUGUAUACGCGGUGAAACAGUAGCGCAAGCGGCUGUGGAGUGUAUAGAAGUGAGAAUGCCGGAAUGAGUAGCGCGAAUGCAGUGAGAAUCUGCAUGGCCGAAAGCCUCAGGUUUCUGGAGGAAGGUUCGUCCGCUCCAGGUUAGUCGGGAGCUAAGGUGAGGCCUAACGGCGUAGCCGAUGCACAGACGGUAGAGAUUCCGUCACCACCAAAAGAGUUAAACACAGGGACACAUUUGAAGUCUCGGAGCCGGGUGUUGGUUCCGGUAGCGAUCGAGGGAAGUUAGUACCGAAGUCCGGGAUGGAAGAUGGCGAGAAAAGCUGUGUGUAUUUCUGAGGUGCCCGUACCGCAAACCGACACAGGUAGGUAGGAAGAAGAUUCUAAGGCCAACGGGAGAAGGGUUGUUAAGGAACUCGGCAAAUUGACCCCGUAACUUCGGGAGAAGGGGUGCUCCAGAGAUGGAGCCGCAGAGAAUCGGCCCAAGCAACUGUUUACCAAAAACACAGGUUUGUGCUAAAUCGAAAGAUGACGUAUACGAGCUGACGCCUGCCCGGUGCUGGAAGGUUAAGAGGAGAUGUGCAAGCAUUGAAUCGAAGCCCCAGUGAACGGCGGCCGUAACUAUAACGGUCCUAAGGUAGCGAAAUUCCUUGUCAGGUAAGUUCUGACCCGCAUGAAAGGCGUAAUGAUUUGGGCACUGUCUCAACAGCCCGCCCGGCGAAAUUGUAGUACCGGUGAAGAUGCCGGUUACCCGCGACAAGACGGAAAGACCCCAUGGAGCUUUACUGUAGCCUAAUAUUGGGUUUCGAUGUUGCAUGCACAGGAUAGAUGGGACACUGGGAAGUGAUCGCUUUGGCGGUCAUGGAGUGGCCGUUGGGAUACCAUCCUUGCGAUAUUGGAAUUCUAACCUGCGCCUUUGAAUCAAGGCGGGGGACAUUGUUAGGUGGGCAGUUUGACUGGGGCGGUCGCCUCCUAAAGAGUAACGGAGGCGUUCAAAGGUUCGCUCAGCUUGAACGGAAAUCAAGCAAAAGAGUGCAAACGCAGAAGCGAGCCUAACUGCGAGACUGACGGGUCGAGCAGUAACGAAAGUUGGAGUUAGUGAUCCGGUGGUAUGUGAGUGGAAAUGCCAUCGCUCAACGGAUAAAAGUUACCCUGGGGAUAACAGGCUGAUCUCCCCCAAGAGUCCACAUCGACGGGGAGGUUUGGCACCUCGAUGUCGGCUCAUCGCAUCCUGGGGCUGUAGUAGGUCCCAAG